GCCGGGCGUGGUGGCGGGUGCCUGUAGUCCCAGCUACUCGGGAGGCUGAGGCAGGAGAAUGGCUUGAACCCAGGAGGCGGAGCUUGCAGUGAGCUGAGAUUGCACCACUGCACUCCAGCCUGGGUGACAGAGCGAGACCCUGUCUCAA
rnacentral:SRP_RNA from 2 species